CUCCCCGACACCCAGCCACCCACCCAACGCCGGCUUCAUCCAUGCCUGGGCUGAGAGGCCCAGGAGAUGGAGGGGAAAUCCUGGUCGGCUGAGGCCUGCAGCGAGACGCAGCCUGCUCUGGAGUUGCAUUCCGCCGCCAGGCCUCCUGCGAAGGCAGCAGAGCCCACUGAUGACCUCAAGGGAAGAGAGUAAGGCCGAGUGCCUGAACCUCAUGCAGCCCCUUGAUAACAGCAAGACUUUCUUACAUCGUCACUCAAAAGGACCUCGGGUAUCGUGAGGUUGGAAUGCUGGAGAGCUGUUGCCAGUCAGAGCAGACAGCACUGGGCUGCCUGGUUUCUUAUUUUUAUCUCUGAAUGUAAUUUUUGGAUCAUGUAAUUGCUUGCUUGCUUUCUAGCUCACUCCAUCCCCACAGGCUCCAGCAAUAUGUCAAUCAUAACCCCAGAUUAGAAUCCCUUAUUAUAGUCUCCUGCGGAUAUUUGGCCAAAUAAAAUGUGAAGAUAACAUCUUUUAUGGCCUAAUAAUAGCUGCUGGGUGGGGCACUCACAGCGUACAGAGCAGCCCCAGUAGCAGGCAAUCCCCAUGUUAUCAUCAGCAGUCUGUAUACAACUUGGUUAUCACUUGACAGAUAAUCAGAAAUGAUGUGUGGGCGGUUAUUCCGGUGAUCACAUUACCAACAGUGUUGUCUGCAUCAUUAUCAAAGGGCUAUAGCUACA